AGGAUGAACGCUGGCGGCGUGCUUAACACAUGCAAGUCGAACGAUGACCCGGUGCUUGCACCGGUGAUUAGUGGCGAACGGGUGAGUAACACGUGAGUAACCUGCCCUUAACUCUGGGAUAAGCCUGGGAAACUGGGUCUAAUACCGGAUAUGACUCCUCAUCGCAUGGUGGGGGUGAAAGCUUUAUUGUGGUUUGGAUGGACUCGCGGCCUAUCAGCUUGUUGGUGAGGUAAUGGCUCACCAAGGCGACGACGGGUAGCCGGCCUGAGAGGGUGACCGGCCACACUGGGACUGAGACACGGCCCAGACUCCUACGGGAGGCAGCAGUGGGGAAUAUUGCACAAUGGGCGAAAGCCUGAUGCAGCGACGCCGCGUGAGGGAUGACGGCCUUCGGUUGUAAACCGCUUUCAGUAGGAAGAAGCGAAAGUGACGGUACCUGCAGAAGAAGCGACCGGCUAACACGUGCCGAGCAGCCGC
rnacentral:rRNA from 1 species